GUGAGGAAUAUUGGACAAUGGGCGCAAGCCUGAUCCAGCCAUGCCGCGUGCAGGAAGACGCAUCUAUGGUGUGCAAACUGCUUUUGUACGGGAAGAAACACUCCAUCGUGAGGGAGCUUGACGGUACCGUAAGAAUAAGGAUCGGCUAACUCCGUGCCAGCAGCCGCGGUAAUACGGAGGAUCCAAGCGUUAUCCGGAAUCAUUGGGUUUAAAGGGUCCGUAGGCGGUUUAAUAAGUCAGUGGUGAAAGCCCAUCGCUCAACGAUGGAACGGCCAUUGAUACUGUUAGACUUGAAUUACAAGGAAGUAACUAGAAUAUGUAGUGUAGCGGUGAAAUGCUUAGAUAUUACAUGGAAUACCAAUUGCGAAGGCAGGUUACUACUUGUGGAUUGACGCUGAUGGACGAAAGCGUGGGGAGCGAACAGGAUUAGAAACCCUUGUAGUCC
rnacentral:rRNA from 1 species